CCUACGGGUGGCAGCAGUGGGGAAUAUUGGGCAAUGGGCGCAAGCCUGACCCAGCAACGCCGCGUGAAGGAAGAAGGCUUUCGGGUUGUAAACUUCUUUUGUCAGGGACGAAGCAAGUGACGGUACCUGACGAAUAAGCCACGGCUAACUCCGUGCCAGCAGCCGCGGUAAUACGUAGGGGGCAAGCGUUAUCCGGAUUUACUGGGUGUAAAGGGCGUGUAGGCGGGGCUGCAAGUCAGAUGUGAAAUCCACGGGCUCAACCUGUGGCCUGCAUUUGAAACUGUUGGUCUUGAGUGCUGGAGAGGCAGGCAGAAUUCCUAGUGUAGCGGUGAAAUGCGUAGAGAUUAGGAGGAACACCAGUGGCGAAGGCGGUCUGCUGGACAGCAACUGACGCUGAGGCGCGAAAGCGUGGGGAGCAAACAGGAUUAGAUACCCGUGUAGUC
rnacentral:rRNA from 1 species